rnacentral:snRNA from 1 species
AUACGUACUUGACAGAAGAUACACCGUGAUCAAUGAGACGGUGCUCUCAGAGCGAGAUCUCCCCGAUGCACUCCAGGUGGGUUGACCCUUGCAAUUUCCCCAAAUGGGGGAGAAACUCGACCGUAUAAUUUGUGGUCGUGGGAGACCGAUUUCUCGCCCUCCCC